CAGUCGCCGCGGUAAUACGUAGGGUGCGAGCGUUAAUCGGAAUUACUGGGCGUAAAGCGUGCGCAGGCGGUUCGUUAAGACAGAUGUGAAAUCCCCGGGCUUAACCUGGGAACUGCACUUGUGACUGGCGAGCUAGAGUAUGGCAGAGGGGGGUAGAAUUCCACGUGUAGCAGUGAAAUGCGUAGAGAUGUGGAGGAAUACCGAUGGCGAAGGCAGCCCCCUGGGCCAAUACUGACGCUCAUGCACGAAAGCGUGGGGAGCAAACAGGAUUAGAUACCCCCGUAGUCCCUGUCUCUUAUAC
rnacentral:rRNA from 1 species